rnacentral:rRNA from 1 species
CCCUUAGAUGUCCUGGGCUGCACGCGCGCUACACUGACGCACUCAACGAGCUUAUCACCUUGGCAGAGAUGUCUGGGUAAUCUUUUGAAAGUUCGUCGUGCUGGGGAUAGAUGAUUGUAAUUAUUCGUCUUGAACGAGGAAUUCCUAGUAAGUGUGAGUCAUCAGCUCGCGCUGAUUACGUCCCUGCCCUUUGUACACACCGCCCGUCGCUCCUACCGAUUGAAUGGUCCGGUGAGGUUCUCGGAUUUUUUCUGUUGUUUGGUUCGCUAAACGAUUGAAGAGAGAAGUUACCCAAACCUUACCAUUUAGAGGAAGGAGAAGUCGUAACA